UAUUAUCUCACGUCCUGCCGCAGCAGCUGCUGGGCCAUUGGCACGGUGGUUGCGGUGCAUGCAGCACAGUUCGUCCCGGCUGCGCUUCCCUUCAUCCCUUCAACGGGGUCUGAACGCUCCCACAGCUCUCACACUGGAAGCUGAGAGCCGCUGAGUGAGGCAAAGGCACGGUUCUACCCUAUUCCAUAACAGGGGAUAAAGCACAGACCAAUCGAGGUGUGGGCUGAAACUAAAGCUACCAAGUGAAGCAGCUAUAUGUGGCUAAAUGUCUCCUCGCACGGCCGCUGACGGGCACCACACGAGGAAAUGACGGACCCCCCUCCGCCUCCGCCGCUUCUCCCCUUCACGUCCGCCGCUCGUCCCGCAGCUCCCCGCACACCGCCGCACACCGCAUCCCCUCCGCGACCGCCGAGCGGCGGCGCUGCCCCUCAGUUGGGAUUCACAGCUCCCCGCGCUCCGCUCACCUCCGUCCGUUACCUCCUCGCAGCCGCCCGGCCCGGCACAGCCGCCGCGCACCCAAGGUAAUGUCACCAGCUUUGAAUUAAGCAAGCUCAAGAAAAGAUGAUUUCGAGGCAAAAUGAUGGUAACUAUGGUUUUCCAUUGUUCCAGGAACAUCAGCAGGAAUGGAAGAAAACUGAGGAUACUUUAUGGAAUUUGGAAAGGACAAACAACAAAAUCACUUGGAAAUCUACCAGUGGGGAUGAUUUUCCUGAGAUAAGCCUGUCUAUAGGUUGUAGUCAGCCCUAGUGAGAUGCCUUGGGGGAUUCCUCUGUGGUCACGACUGCAAACAUUAUUCAAGAGAAACAAACACAAUUGUCAAAAGCAGCUUAUCUGGCUAUGCUGGUCUCUUCUCUGGAAAGUGAACUCAGACUGUUUGCCUCAUUGUAUCUAUCUUGCUGUCUGUAAAAUAAAUGAAUGCCUUGCCCUAGCAACACAGUAGCUGCACAUGAAUUUAGUUUGAAAUAUUACUCAUGUAUUGGCAUAUUAGGACAAAUAAGACUAUCUUAAAAAAUAUGAGUGUUUGUUGUUAAUAUCUUGCAUUUUUGUUUGUUUAAUGGGUGAAACUUUCUAUUACAAUAUUUUAAAAUCUCUUGCACAAAUAUUAAGAUAUUAUGUCCUUUAAUAAAAUCAAUUAUUUCUUCCUGUUCUUUCCCUGAAUAGAUCCUUUACCUUGUUUCAAGUCCCGAGAGCACACAUGAGUUGGGCUCUUGCAGCAAGUUUCCUGUUUUGCCAAAGGCUGGUUGCAUAAUUCUGACCAAGCCAAGGUUUUGACUUGUUGGUCACUGAAUGACCUGCUUUUUUAAUUUUAAUUUUAAUUUUUUUUUUUUUUUCCUGUACUUCUCAGGUUCAUUUGACCAAAAAACUCUCAAAAGUUAAACACAUUUUAGGUAUCUGGGCAAGGAUUUAUAACAUAUGCAGUAUUGGUUCAAACCAGUAUAGUGUCAAAACCAGUGGCCAGAAGCAGAUGUGCAAGAAGAUUUAAGGGCAUAACACGUGUAUGAUAUUUUGCUUUGACACUUGCCCAUUCCCUGUCAUUGUUAGUUCAGAAGAUUGCCUGAAUGUGUUGUGGUUUGCUUACUUAGUAACCUGCAUGGAUUUCUCUUCCAAUUACCUGUUAGUCUCCUCUUGAAUCUAGGAAAACAUUUCUUAAGUACAACACAAUUUAGUAAGGCCUGCCACGUACGUAAACUUUAAUACUGUGUGAAGAAAUAGCGACUUCUGUCUCUUUUGAGACAGGCCCCUUUUGUGCUGCAUGGUACUGAGAGCUUGGAAACACUGAUUUGUACCAGUAUCUGUCCUCAGACUUGUGACAUAUUUAUAUCCUGAAUGGUAUUAUGCUUGGACACAGCUGUGAUGUGUAAACUGAUGCCAUAGACGCAUGACACCUCUGUGUUGGGUUUGCAGAUAAAGAAAAGUGAGUGUGUCUAUUGGCCUGUGGUCCCAUUUCAUUCCUUGCACUGGGACAAACUCCAGCAAGCCUGAGAAUGUCUCUCAGUUUGCUUCUGCAGAUACUGCUGUUUUCAAAGUGAUGUGAUGUACUAAGUACAUAUGAAAAAAUACCAGCAACAUUUGCAUUACAGUCCAGAUAUUAGUAAAAUAAUUUGAUUUAUGAUUUCUUGGAAAGCCUAUGUGACUUGAGAAGUCUAAUAUCAGAGUCAUUUGUUGACAUUAUUUUUAUUGAAGCAUGGAUCUUUAGCUUGGUUCACCAUAAAGUGAAGCAUUUUAUUUAUGAUAAUAGACAGUUUAGGGCUAUAGGGGCAUUAUAACGUUGCUGGUGUAAAUACAACUUUAUCAGAAGAUACAAACAUGACCCGCAAGAGAAACAAACACCUAAGAGAACACAAUGAAACGUUCACUGUUUACGAAUCACUUCAUUACUACAGACACCAAAUGGCAGUUACUGUAAGUAAAUCAGUUGCAGAGAACUGACUACAUUUAGAGAGGGGAACAGGAACUUCGGUUUGGGGCUUCAUCCACAACUGCUUAGUAGAAAAAAGUUUCAUGUCAAGCAUUCUUUUUUUAUCCACAAAACAAUGCUAACCAACAGACAUAUAAAAGAAUAAGACUGAAAGAUAUCAACGUCUUUACAACUACUUUUGCAAUUAUCUUCUUCAUUAGGUACUUUGAUUUUUUAAUACAUUUUGUCAGAAGGUAAAUAGCCCAAAAGUCAGCAGCAAAAAUAUUACAACAACAAAACAAGUCAAUACAGUGCCAAUGUGUCAUGUUGUAGAAUACAAAGAGGA